rnacentral:rRNA from 1 species
GACGAACGCUGGCGGCGUGCUUAACACAUGCAAGUCGAACGCUGAAGCUUGGUGCUUGCACUGUGUGGGUGAGUGGCGCACGGGUGAGUAAUACGUGAGUAGCCUGCCCUUGACUCUGGGAUAAGCCUGGGAAACUGGGUCUAAUACUGGAUACGACAUUUCACCGCAUGGUGGUGUGUGGAAUGGGGUUUACUGGGUUUGGAUGGGCUCACGGCCUAUCAGCUUGUUGGUGGGGUAAUGGCUCACCAAGGCGACGACGGGUAGCCGGCCUGAGAGGGUGACCGGCCACACUGGGACUGAGACACGGCCCAGACUCCUACGGGAGGCAGCAGUGGGGAAUAUUGCACAAUGGGCGGAAGCCUGAUGCAGCGACGCCGCGUGAGGGAUGACGGCCUUCGGGUUGUAAACCUCUUUCAGCAGGGACGAAGCGAAAGUGACGGUAAGUGCAGAAGAAGCGCCGGCUAACUACGUG